rnacentral:rRNA from 1 species
UACGGGGGGGGUAAGCGUUGUUCGGAAUUACUGGGCGUAAAGGGCUCGUAGGCGGCCAACUAAGUCAGACGUGAAAUCCCCAGGCUCAACCUGGGAACUGCGUCUGAUACUGGAUGGCUUGAAUCCGGGAGAGGGAUGCAGAAUUCCAGGUGUAGCGGUGAAAUGCGUAGAUAUCUGGAGGAAUACCGGUGGCGAAGGCGGCAUCCUGGACUGGCAUUGACGCUGAGGAGCGAAAGCCAGGGGAGCAAACGGG